rnacentral:rRNA from 1 species
CCUACGGGUGUCAGCAGUGGGGAAUCUUGCACAAUGGGCGAAACCCUGAUGCAGCGACGCCGCGUGAGCGAUGAAGUAUUUCGGUAUUUAAAGCUCUAUCAGCAGGGAAGAAAAUGACGGUACCUGACUCAGAAUCCCCGGCUAACUACUUUCCAGCAGCCGCGGUAAUACGUAGGUGGCAAGCGUUGUCCGUAUUUACUGGGUGUAAAGGGUGUGCAGACGGAGAGACAAGUCAGAUGUGAAAUCCAUUGGCUUAACCCGUGGACUGAAUUUGAGACUGGUUCCCUUGAGUGUCGGAGAGGUAAGCGGAAUUCCGGGGGUAGCGGGGAAAUGCGUAGAUAUAAGGAAGAACACCAGUGGCGAAGGCGGAUUACUGGACGAUAACUGACGGUGAGGCGCGAAAGCGUGGGGAGCAAACAGGAUUAGAUACCCGGGUAGUC